UACGGAGGAUCCAAGCGUUUAUCCGGAAUCAUUGGGUUUAAAGGGUCCGUAGGCGGUUUGGUAAGUCAGUGGUGAAAGCCCAUCGCUCAACGGUGGAACGGCCAUUGAUACUGCCAGACUUGAAUUAUUAGGAAGUAACUAGAAUAUGUAGUGUAGCGGUGAAAUGCUUAGAGAUUACAUGGAAUACCAAUUGCGAAGGCAGGUUACUACUAAUGGAUUGACGCUGAUGGACGAAAGCGUGGGUAGCGAACAGG
rnacentral:rRNA from 1 species